GCAGCAGCAGCAGCAGCAGCCACGGGCAGUGACGGAAAGGGAGGAGGCGCCCUGCCCGGCAGGUCGGCCCCGGGUGGGGCCGCGACUUGGGGUGCCACCUCCAGUCGUCGGGACCGGCUCCGGCGUCCCCAGGCUCACCUCCUCAGACAUGCUUUCCCUUGACCACACGACCUAAAGUAACGGCCAGUCCUCUUCUCAUGGCCUGACCUGGUUUUGAUUCCCCUCACAGGGUCGCUCCCUUCUAAAAUUAUCUGCUUUAAUACACUGUCUUCUCUCUUUAAACCCAAGUUCCCUGGAGUCAGGGAUAAAUUCCGCCUUGUCCAUCUCUAUCCUCAGCCUCCUAAAUGGAACCUGGCAUGAAGCACGUGCUCAGUAAAUGUUAGUCGGAUGAA